rnacentral:lncRNA from 1 species
CUCCACAUUUUUUAAGUUUUUUUUAUUUUAAAUUUCAUGAUUACCUUACCUCGGUGAAGUACCAAAUCUGAAUUUUAUGAUUACGUCUUGGAAAGAUACCAAAUCUUUUCAAAUCCAUCUUGUAAAGAUAUCAAAUCUAUUCAAAACUUUUCCGACAAAAUUCUCAUUUACUUAAAUUUCAUGAUUACCUUAUCUCUGCGAAGUAUAAAAAUCUAGAUUUUAUGAUCACACCUCGGGAAGGUACAAAAUCUUUUCAAAUUCAUCUCGGAAAGGUACUAAAGCUAUUCAAAUCUUUUCCGACAAAAUUCUCAUUUCCUUAUCUCGGGAAAGGACAAAAUCUUCACCCUGAUUCGCAUGUGUAUAUAGGAGAACGUGUACUUAGAAGGGACAAAAUUCUCACAUUGAUUCGCGUGUGUAUAUAGCAGAACGUGUAUACAAAUAUAAAAAUUGGUGGUUUUUUAGAUACACGCGGCGUCUCCACAUUUUUCCAGUAUUUUUUAUUUUAAAUAUUACUCGGUAAGUACUAAAUCUAAAUUUCAUGAUUACACCUCGGGAAGGCACUAAAUCUUUUCAAAUCUAGUUCGAGAAGGUACAAAAUCUACCCAAAUCUUUUCUGACAAAAUUCUCAUUUCCUUAAUUCGGGAAGAGACAAAAUCUUCAUCUUGAUUUGCGUGUACAUAUAGAAGAACGUGUACUCAAAAGAGACAAUUUCCACCUUGAUUUGUGUGUAUGUAGGAGAGCGUGUACUCAUAAGGUUGGAAUCUUGAAAAAAUUUUCAUUUUCUUACCUCAAAAAGGGACAAAAUCCUCACCUUAAUUCGGAUAUGUAUAUAGGAGAACGUUUACUCAUGAGGUUGGAAUAUUGAAAAAUUUUCCUAAUUGCUUCUUCCUCCUCUCCCUCUCAUGCACUGAAUUUCACCUCUCUUUAUACUAAAUUUUACAUUUCUUUUGUAUUUUUUGCUGGAUUUCUGAGAGCUACUUAGAUUCGUGUUGCACCACCCUGAAGAUGUGCCUACGGAUGGAAGGUGGUCAUUGUAUCGUUAGGAGUGAUUGCCGGAGCCUCGCGCAUGAAGAGGCAUUCUCGCUUCUAGGACAGUGCUUUCGCACACCUCGACUAACAACCCUCAUCUAAACCUCUUUUCUCUAUAUUAUUUUCUACCUAAUCCGUUCUUAUAAUUUUUCGAAAACAAAAGUUAUAAUUAUUUUUUUUUAAAAUUGUUUAAAAAUUAAAUUGUUCAAGCUAAAUAUAUGUUUGCAUAUUAUAUAAU